GAUGGAAUUUCCUGCUUCAAUACCAAAUAACAUAAUUUGCUAAUUGGUGUGCAAAUGUAAAUUUUGUAUUGUUUGAGGUGUAUGAUUUCUGUGCUGAUUUCUUGUCAUAAUGUUGGUUUUGUUAGAAUGUCAAAUUUAUUUUUGAUACUGCAAUCAAAGGUGUUCUCCAACCUCCAAGGAAAAGGGAGAUUUUUAAUAAGAAGAAGAGUUCUGGUUGCUUGAUGAUAAAGGCGUAUACACACUUUUCCUUUGACUACUCAACAAAUUUGGCUAUCUCCAGAUUGAAGCUCUGAAGGAGGUAGGGGUAACUGAAGUUGUUUUAGCGAUAAACUACCAGUCAGAGGUAAAAUGGAAAAAGUAAAGUUUGUUUGUAUUCUUAAACUUCUCGAAAUUAUUGGCUGAUAUUUCUGUUAUCUGAUACUACUUUUUUACUGCUAAACCAACUAUGAUGUGAACUGAUGCUGGCGUGGGAGGUCCAACUGAAUGCAGUUGUGUGAUGGCUGCAGAUAUUUUUGAUGGCUGCAGGCAUCUCCUAACAACAGAUUUCAAAAAUCUGCCGUGGUCUGUGGGGCUGUGAGGCUUAACAUUUCUUUGCUUGCAACUUUUUCUUACCUCAGCACGCGUAGAGGUUUAUGCCUCAAGGUUAAUCAAGCAAGGAUUUAGGGUUGAACAAGUGAUUGGUAGUCGAGGGACUGACGAAGAGAGAGCUGGAUCACAUGAGCUAUUGUGGUUGCUAGUGAGGUUCACAAAUCCUUGGAAGGCCACAGGCAGGAGUUCACAUUUAUGAUUGGAGAUGCUCAUGAUGAAGUUAUUUUUUAGAAUGGGGAAUUUAUUAGCUACUAAGUUCACGUUUAUUAUUUCCAUUUUUGUUUUAAUAUUUCUCUAAAUUAAUGUCUUAUUUCAAUAGUUUGAGCUUUUUGGAGAAUUUUUUUUUGUAUUCACUGCUAUAUAUUUUAAGUCUUUGU